AUUGAACGCUGGCGGCAUGCUUUACACAUGCAAGUCGAACGGCAGCACGGGUGCUUGCACCUGGUGGCGAGUGGCGAACGGGUGAGUAAUGCACCGGAACGUAUCCAAUAAUGGGGGAUAACGCACCGAAAGGUGUGCUAAUACCGCAUACGCCCUGAGGGGGAAAGCGGGGGACCGAAAGGCCUCGCGUUACUGGAGCGGCCGAUGCCGGAUUAGCUAGUUGGUGAGGUAAAGGCUCACCAAGGCGACGAUCCGUAGCUGGUCUGAGAGGACGACCAGCCACACUGGGACUGGGACACGGCCCAGACUCCUACGGGAGGCAGCAGUGGGGAAUUUUGGACAAUGGGCGCAAGCCUGAUCCAGCCAUGCCGCGUGAGUGAAGAAGGCCUUCGGGUUGUAAAGCUCUUUCGCAAGGAAAGAAAACUCAUCUCCUAAUACGAGGUGAGGAUGACGGUACCUUGAUAAGAAGCACCGGCUAACUACGUGCCAGCAGCCGCGGUAA
rnacentral:rRNA from 1 species